rnacentral:rRNA from 1 species
GACGAACGCUGGCGGCGUGCUUAACACAUGCAAGUCGAGCGGUAAGGCCCUUUCGGGGGUACACGAGCGGCGAACGGGUGAGUAACACGUGGGUGACCUGCCCUCAGCUCUGGGAUAAGCCCGGGAAACUGGGUCUAAUACUGGAUAUGACUCCAUGACGCAUGUUGUGGGGUGGAAAGCCUUGUGCGGCUGAGGAUGGGCCCGCGGCCUAUCAGCUUGUUGGUGGGGNGACGGCCUACCAAGGCGACGACGGGUAGCCGGCCUGAGAGGGCGACCGGCCACACUGGGACUGAGACACGGCCCAGACUCCUACGGGAGGCAGCAGUGGGGAAUCUUGCGCAAUGGGCGAAAGCCUGACGCAGCGACGCCGCGUGAGGGAUGACGGCCUCGGUG